rnacentral:rRNA from 1 species
GACGAACGCUGGCGGCGUGCUUAACACAUGCAAGUCGAACGGAAAGGCCCCCUCCUUGGUGGGGGUGCCCGAUUGGCGAAUGGGUGAGUAACACGUGGGUGAUCUGCCCUGUACUUCGGGCUAAGCUUUGGCACCUGGGUCUAAUACCGGAUUGGCGCAUGGUUUAGUGUCUCAUGGUGGAAAAAUUAUUGUUUUUGUGCAGGAUGAGCUCGGGGCUUAUCAGCUUGUUGGUGGGGUCAUGGCCUAUCAAGGCGUCGACGGGUAGCCGGGCUGCGAGGGUGGGCGGCCACAUGGGGAGUGGGAGACAGCCCAGACGCCUACGGGAGGCAGCAGUGGGGAAUAUUGCACAAUGGGCGCAAGCCUGAGGCAGCGACGCCGCGUGGGGGAGGACGGCCGUCGGGGUGUAAACUCCUUUCGUGAGGGACGAAGCCACACCUUUUUGGAGGGUGGUGACGGUAACUUUGUGAAGAAGCACCGGCUAACUACGUG